GUGGGGAAUCUUGCGCAAUGGGCGAAAGCCUGACGCAGCCAUGCCGCGUGAAUGAUGAAGGUCUUAGGAUUGUAAAAUUCUUUCACCGGGGACGAUAAUGACGGUACCCGGAGAAGAAGCUCCGGCUAACUUCGUGCCAGCAGCCGCGGUAAUACGAAGGGGGCUAGCGUUGCUCGGAAUUACUGGGCGUAAAGGGCGCGUAGGCGGACAGCUUAGUCAGAGGUGAAAGCCCAGGGCUCAACCUUGGAAUUGCCUUUGAUACUGGCUGUCUUGAGUUUGGGAGAGGUGAGUGGAACUCCGAGUGUAGAGGUGAAAUUCGUAGAUAUUCGGAAGAACACCAGUGGCGAAGGCGACUCACUGGCCCAAUACUGACGCUGAGGCGCGAAAGCGUGGGGAGCAAACAGGAUUAGAAACCCGGAUAGUCC
rnacentral:rRNA from 1 species